AGUAGCCCAAAAGACAAAGUCCUUCUCAACAAAGCCUAACCAACAGGCAAUGGAUUAUAGUGAUUCAGAGGAAAGAUAAGAAGGUUCCUUUGUCUUGGACCUCCACUAGACAUCAAGGAAACAUGCCAAAAAAGUAAACAACAAAGGCCCCCACACCUUUCCAAACUACAACCCAAAAUAAGUUGAUCUGAGAAACAAAUUGCAAUGCCGCAUGCAAAGCAGAUGUGUCCAAAUUCAUGUAGGACCAGACACAUCCUGAACCUUUCAGUGCAACAGCUGUUCAAGACUUUCUUCAAAAUCAUCCAAGCACAAGGGUUGAUAAAAUACACACAAAAUGGCUGAUGCUCAAACCAACCAAAACACCAGGCUCUUUGCUGAAACCUCUGAGAAGGGUUCCUGGCUCCAGGUCAGCCUCAAUGGAAUAAAGGAAGAUCACCUACCACUUCAAACUGAAGAGCUGAAGGAGUUGUAUCAAGAUACAGAGUGCAGCAAGUAUAGGAAACAUUAGAGAAACUGACCUGUCUGGAGAUGGCAAGCUGCAGAGCCAGGUAGAAAGCUGCUUGGUGAUCUGUGGGUGACAGGCUGUGGGCCCUGAAAAAGUAUUUACGGCUAUUAGUACAUGGGAGAGGAGGCCAUUUUUACUUUCCCUAUCAAGCAAGUCUUCUCCACAUUUGCAUUCUUAUACUAAGGGCCCGUAUUUAUUUAACUAUGUAAUGCUUCAUUUAAACUCUUCUUCUUUGUCCACCUACACAUGUAAACCAUUUCCCUCUUACCACUGUAUAAAGGUACAGAAUAGGAGUGC
rnacentral:lncRNA from 1 species